UACAAAUUGGUCAUACAUACAAGUUCCGUAGUUUAAUCUCUGUUGGAUUUUAUUGAUAUUUAAAUUUUGCGACGAUUAUAUCUAGAUCGUAAAAUCUCUUAGUUAUAGAUAUAAACGACAUUAUUAUUAAGUGGUCGAAUCUAUCUUGUAAUGUAUAAGCGUAAUUUAAUAUAAGUCUCUUUUUUUUUUUUUUUUUUUUUUUAUAAUAAUGAACUUAUAUUAAUCCAUUUAUAUCUUUUAAUUUCAAUUUCACACUUAUCUCACAACUACAUAUGCAUAUUUACGUACUUCGAUCAAUGCGGAAGAAGUCUCGUGGUACUAGAUAUGAACCGUGCGAGAGGUUGAUUUAUACUGAUAUAUAAAUAUACAUAUCUCGUAUAAGUUAACAAUCACUUAUCUCAGGAGUUCGCCUUGCAGAAUUUUAAUAACGAAAUGAUAUGGAUAGUUUCAAUACCGGUUCUAAUGACUAUUAGAACAGUACGAGAUACAGUAGUCCUCAUACGCGUAAGGAUUAAUUAUGCUUUCGGCAUUGCGUUUCGCUCUGGCAACCGAGAGCUCGAAUAAUGUCGAGUGGAAAACGAUCGUGAUGGCAGAAGUGAGAAAAGCAGGAUAGUCCGUUGACUCGCCAUAGGCGCCAUACUUCCCGUUCCCGAGUUCUUAUUUAUUCCCGUCUAAAAUCUCAUUUUCCUUGAAAUAUCGAGCUAUACCCAGCGGAACGUGCAUUCGCAGUAUGAUUUUUCAUUAAAGUGUCUCGGCCAACUGAGAUAUGGCCGGGACAUUGAAUGUAGCUACUCCAACGAGUUGGAGAAGAACGGUCGUAUGGGAAAUUCUCGAGAUAAAAUGUGUAAGAGAAAAAGAAAAAGAAUAAAAGAAUAAAAGAAAGAGAGAAUGAAGUAAGAGAGAAAAAGAGAUAAUAGGGA